GAAUGUAUCACAACUUUAUUCCCCUACUAUACUGGGUGUAACUCUGGCCUUAUAUUCAUUGCUUACAAGAUAAGGUGAGUUUUGAUGCUAUCAUUAGUUUUUCCCUUUAUGUUUUUUAUUAUCCUUAAUAAAUUAUUACAUAUAUUCUUUUCAAUGUGCAUGACAUCUAAGUUGUGGCGUAGUAAUAAGGUCCUCCAAUAUGGAAGGUCAAAGAAUAUACUCUUUUUAUUCCAAU
rnacentral:misc_RNA from 1 species